rnacentral:sRNA from 1 species
UAUUUGACUAAGUUAUUUCUUCAGCAGCAUAAGUUCCCUGUUUUCCUCCAGAAUUCUCUAUUAUCUUCUAUUAUCUCCAAAUGAAUCUCAAACAUGUAAAGACCUGAAAAAGACUAGAAAAGACUCUAAAAAUAACAAAUAGACUCUAAAACGUAUACCUCAAACAUAGUUAAAACUGGUAAAAAUAAGGAUAUAUCAGCUGUCGAGUUUCAAAGUGACCGUCCGACCGAGAAAUCGUGAAAAGUGUUACCAUCGAGAAACUAUGCCCGUGAUCAAGAUCCUUUGUCCGUAACUUAUUAUUUCCUGUCCGUGAUCAAGAAAACCUGUUUGUGGAUGAGA